rnacentral:rRNA from 1 species
GACGAACGCUGGCGGCGUGCUUAACACAUGCAAGUCGAGCGGUAAGGCCCUUUCGGGGGUACACGAGCGGCGAACGGGUGAGUAACACGUGGGUGACCUGCCCUCAGCUCUGGGAUAAGCCUGGGAAACCGGGUCUAAUACCGGAUAUGACUCCAUGACGCAUGUUGUGGGGUGGAAAGCCUUGUGCGGCUGAGGAUGGGCCCGCGGCCUAUCAGCUUGUUGGUGGGGUGAUGGCCUACCAAGGCGACGACGGGUAGCCGGCCUGAGAGGGCGACCGGCCACACUGGGACUGAGACACGGCCCAGACUCCUACGGGAGGCAGCAGUGGGGAAUCUUGGACAAUGGGCGCGAGCCUGAUCCAGCCAUGCCGCGU